rnacentral:misc_RNA from 1 species
GUACUCUCACACUCUCCGAUCCUGUGGAUUUGGGGAGCGGUGGACUUGGGUGCUUGCUGCUUUCCUUGUGGCUCACCUGAAAUGCGUUAGUGCAUCUCUUGAUUGGACAUAGUACGGCGUGAUAAGUGUCUUCGCCGGCGCCUCGUAAUAAAGAGGGUGGCCGAUUGGGAGCUCUGUGCUUUCAAACCGUCUUCGGACAAUCUCUGACA